rnacentral:rRNA from 1 species
CCUACGGGAGGCUGCAGUGGGGAAUAUUGGACAAUGGGGGGAACCCUGAUCCAGCCAUGCCGCGUGUGUGAAGAAGGCCCUCGGGUUGUAAAGCACUUUCAGUGAGGAAGAACGCCUGGUGGUUAAUACCCAUCAGGAAAGACAUCACUCACAGAAGAAGCACCGGCUAACUCCGUGCCAGCAGCCGCGGUAAUACGGAGGGUGCGAGCGUUAAUCGGAAUUACUGGGCGUAAAGCGCGCGUAGGUGGCUUGAUAAGCCGGUUGUGAAAGCCCCGGGCUCAACCUGGGAACGGCAUCCGGAACUGUCAAGCUAGAGUGCAGGAGAGGAAGGUAGAAUUCCCGGUGUAGCGGUGAAAUGCGUAGAGAUCGGGAGGAAUACCAGUGGCGAAGGCGGCCUUCUGGACUGACACUGACACUGAGGUGCGAAAGCGUGGGUAGCAAACAGGAUUAGAUACCUUUGUAGUC